UAUGGGGUUACACAUUAAGAGAUUUAAUCUUGAAUUUAUCAAUUGGACUUAUGAAGUUCCAAUUGGAUUAGGGUUUAUUAAAAUCUUAUUAGGUUUAUGAGAACCAUGCUAGUAUACGGUUAAACCUAAUUCUUCUCGGGACUUUGAUUUGAUCAAGUUUAUAGCCUUGAACCUAAUCUAAAUCUAUUUGGAUUUAAUUGGGCUCUUAAUUAUGAGCCCAAGAGGAUUUGAUGAAGUCAAUUAGUUGGCAUAAUUAUCCUAACAUUAUAUCUUCUUUAUCUCCUAAUUAUCUCUAAGUGUGC
rnacentral:lncRNA from 1 species